AGCCUUAAAUUGCAGGACCCGUGUACAAAAUCGAAUAACCCUUUUAGCUGUGGCCAUGUCGUCACAGACCUACCAGCGUUUUUUACCAUAGAGUUUAUAUAAGGACUGUUUUUCGGUAACAGGCACACAUUUGAUAAAAGGUUAUCACAUCGUUCAACGGCUUAGACGAGUUGUUGGAAAAUUAGGGGAGUACUUUGACAUUUUUCGAAAGAAAUAUCACUUUCCAACAGUCCUUAAAGAUGGCUAACAAUCCUGGAACUGCACGUAAAGGACAAAAGAGGCAAACAAAUCAAUCCAAAGCGGAUCCGAGACGAGUAAAGUUGCAGGGCCUACGUUAUCCGUGCCCCAAACCCAACUGCGAGAAGGUCUACAAGAGCAAAACCUGGUUUAUCAAACACAAAAAGAUAUAAGAAGCGUUGUUACUGCAGGUUCUGCAAGAGAAGAUUCACAUAUGAAGCCUGUCGUAACACACAUGCAGCCACCUGCAUAAUGCGCUAUUUCAAGUGAUAAGUUUCUUCCGAAUUAUUUAAUGGUGAAUGUCGACAUUUGAUUAAUUAAUAGCCCUGGCUUUGACGUUUCAAAUCAACUAUUUCCAAAACCCAUGAGCAUAAUCUUUUUGAACAGUAAGGUUGGCGAUGAGUUUCUUCUGUCAACUUCUGCAUUCAAGGAGUAGAUUUAGCAGUUACACAUGUCGCCUAGGCCCAAACAAUCAAAAAUAUCGAUGGUUAAAAAUGGCGGGAAUUGUACCAUCGUGGAACUACAUUUGUUGAACCUAACCUGUUAACACAAACCGGGAAUGAGACUAACGACUGCUCGGGCAAUGUUCAAGAAUUGUCAGACGACUUCACCCAGUCUCAGCAAGAGCCAUUGAUGUUACCAUAGCCGUAGCCGUAGUAUGACAAACUAGUGAACUAUAAUAUACUCCGUGGAAAAGAAUCUGUUUUUUUUUUUUUUUUAAUAAUAGUAAUAAUGUUAUAAUUUUUGUUAAUUUUGGUGUUACUCUUACACCAAUGUGUUUUACCAAUGUACCCCUCGUUCUGUGAAAACAAAGUGGAAUUAUAACCCAAGACCUUUGAAAUUCUAGAGCAAUGUCUUACCAACUAGGCAACGAAGAUUACCCGUUAGCUCGGAGGCACUUAAAAUCCUGUAUUUUUGCAGCGGGUACCGCAAACUGGCAUCGGUGACACCGAUGCAAAUUUAACAUCAAAUAAUUAGGUUAAUAAAUAUGACAUGGUUUUGUGAGGGGCAAUUUCAGAAGGAAGUGGUCUCCCUUAAUUAUCUAUUACGUACACAUGAAAGUAACUUACCCACAUUUGAAUUCCAAUAAAAACAUUUAAUCAGCUUA